rnacentral:rRNA from 1 species
GGUUAAGCGACUAAGCGUACACGGUGGAUGCCCUGGCAGUCAGAGGCGAUGAAGGACGUGCUAAUCUGCGAUAAGCGUCGGUAAGGUGAUAUGAACCGUUAUAACCGGCGAUUUCCGAAUGGGGAAACCCAGUGUGUUUCGACACACUAUCAUUAACUGAAUCCAUAGGUUAAUGAGGCGAACCGGGGGAACUGAAACAUCUAAGUACCCCGAGGAAAAGAAAUCAACCGAGAUUCCCCCAGUAGCGGCGAGCGAACGGGGAGCAGCCCAGAGCCUGAAUCAGUGUGUGUGUUAGUGGAAGCGUCUGGAAAGGCGUGCGAUACAGGGUGACAGCCCCGUACACAAAAAUGCACAUGCUGUGAGCUCGAUGAGUAGGGCGGGACACGUGGUAUCCUGUCUGAAUAUGGGGGGACCAUCCUCCAAGGCUAAAUACUCCUGACUGACCGAUAGUGAACCAGUACCGUGAGGGAAAGGCGAAAAGAACCCCGGCGAGGGGAGUGAAAAAGAACCUGAAACCGUGUACGUACAAGCAGUGGGAGCACGCUUAGGCGUGUGACUGCGUACCUUUUGUAUAAUGGGUCAGCGACUUAUAUUCUGUAGCAAGGUUAACCGAAUAGGGGAGCCGAAGGGAAACCGAGUCUUAACUGGGCGUUAAGUUGCAGGAUAUAGACCCGAAACCCGGUGAUCUAGCCAUGGGCAGGUUGAAGGUUGGGUAACACUAACUGGAGGACCGAACCGACUAAUGUUGAAAAAUUAGCGGAUGACUUGUGGCUGGGGGUGAAAGGCCAAUCAAACCGGGAGAUAGCUGGUUCUCCCCGAAAGCUAUUUAGGUAGCGCCUCGUGAAUUCAUCUCCGGGGGUAGAGCACUGUUUCGGCAAGGGGGUCAUCCCGACUUACCAACCCGAUGCAAACUGCGAAUACCGGAGAAUGUUAUCACGGGAGACACACGGCGGGUGCUAACGUCCGUCGUGAAGAGGGAAACAACCCAGACCGCCAGCUAAGGUCCCAAAGUCAUGGUUAAGUGGGAAACGAUGUGGGAAGGCCCAGACAGCCAGGAUGUUGGCUUAGAAGCAGCCAUCAUUUAAAGAAAGCGUAAUAGCUCACUGGUCGAGUCGGCCUGCGCGGAAGAUGUAACGGGGCUAAACCAUGCACCGAAGCUGCGGCAGCGACACUAUGUGUUGUUGGGUAGGGGAGCGUUCUGUAAGCCUGUGAAGGUGUGCUGUGAGGCAUGCUGGAGGUAUCAGAAGUGCGAAUGCUGACAUAAGUAACGAUAAAGCGGGUGAAAAGCCCGCUCGCCGGAAGACCAAGGGUUCCUGUCCAACGUUAAUCGGGGCAGGGUGAGUCGACCCCUAAGGCGAGGCCGAAAGGCGUAGUCGAUGGGAAACAGGUUAAUAUUCCUGUACUUGGUGUUACUGCGAAGGGGGGACGGAGAAGGCUAUGUUGGCCGGGCGACGGUUGUCCCGGUUUAAGCGUGUAGGCUGGUUUUCCAGGCAAAUCCGGAAAAUCAAGGCUGAGGCGUGAUGACGAGGCACUACGGUGCUGAAGCAACAAAUGCCCUGCUUCCAGGAAAAGCCUCUAAGCAUCAGGUAACAUCAAAUCGUACCCCAAACCGACACAGGUGGUCAGGUAGAGAAUACCAAGGCGCUUGAGAGAACUCGGGUGAAGGAACUAGGCAAAAUGGUGCCGUAACUUCGGGAGAAGGCACGCUGAUAUGUAGGUGAAGCGACUUGCUCGUGGAGCUGAAAUCAGUCGAAGAUACCAGCUGGCUGCAACUGUUUAUUAAAAACACAGCACUGUGCAAACACGAAAGUGGACGUAUACGGUGUGACGCCUGCCCGGUGCCGGAAGGUUAAUUGAUGGGGUUAGCCGCAAGGCGAAGCUCUUGAUCGAAGCCCCGGUAAACGGCGGCCGUAACUAUAACGGUCCUAAGGUAGCGAAAUUCCUUGUCGGGUAAGUUCCGACCUGCACGAAUGGCGUAAUGAUGGCCAGGCUGUCUCCACCCGAGACUCAGUGAAAUUGAACUCGCUGUGAAGAUGCAGUGUACCCGCGGCAAGACGGAAAGACCCCGUGAACCUUUACUAUAGCUUGACACUGAACAUUGAGCCUUGAUGUGUAGGAUAGGUGGGAGGCUUUGAAGUGUGGACGCCAGUCUGCAUGGAGCCGACCUUGAAAUACCACCCUUUAAUGUUUGAUGUUCUAACGUUGACCCGUAAUCCGGGUUGCGGACAGUGUCUGGUGGGUAGUUUGACUGGGGCGGUCUCCUCCUAAAGAGUAACGGAGGAGCACGAAGGUUGGCUAAUCCUGGUCGGACAUCAGGAGGUUAGUGCAAUGGCAUAAGCCAGCUUGACUGCGAGCGUGACGGCGCGAGCAGGUGCGAAAGCAGGUCAUAGUGAUCCGGUGGUUCUGAAUGGAAGGGCCAUCGCUCAACGGAUAAAAGGUACUCCGGGGAUAACAGGCUGAUACCGCCCAAGAGUUCAUAUCGACGGCGGUGUUUGGCACCUCGAUGUCGGCUCAUCACAUCCUGGGGCUGAAGUAGGUCCCAAGGGUAUGGCUGUUCGCCAUUUAAAGUGGUACGCGAGCUGGGUUUAGAACGUCGUGAGACAGUUCGGUCCCUAUCUGCCGUGGGCGCUGGAGAACUGAGGGGGGCUGCUCCUAGUACGAGAGGACCGGAGUGGACGCAUCACUGGUGUUCGGGUUGUCAUGCCAAUGGCACUGCCCGGUAGCUAAAUGCGGAAGAGAUAAGUGCUGAAAGCAUCUAAGCACGAAACUUGCCCCGAGAUGAGUUCUCCCUGACUCCUUGAGAGUCCUGAAGGAACGUUGAAGACGACGACGUUGAUAGGCCGGGUGUGUAAGCGCAGCGAUGCGUUGAGCUAACCGGUACUAAUGAACCGUGAGGCUUAACCUU